rnacentral:lncRNA from 1 species
CUGGGUUGCCACCAUCAAUCUCUUUCUCCUAAAGUGCCAGGGAGCAGCGCCACAGGAGUACAGAGAGCCAGGUCCACCUCCGCAUCCCCCCGUGCCCCCUCUUCCCCACUGUGCUUAGAAAUCUUGGUCUCCAAGGCCUCUCUCUUCUCCACCGUCCUCUCUCCAUCCUCCCCUGUGGGGUGAUCUGGAAGGCUUUGGAAGAAUGGGGAGUGGUGCUUCCUGUUACACUUAGGGGAACUUUGUUGGCUGCUUGGUAACCAGAGAAUGCAGGCAUUGUGUCCUCCUUCCUUUUGAAGCCAGUACUUCCUUUCCUUCGACCCACACUCUAUAUUUGGACAUUUACCAAGAAGGAUAAGAUGCCGACUUCUGUAACAAAGAGACCCAACAAUCCAGUGGCUGAAAGAACAAAGACAUUUUUUUUCUCAUGUUAACGGUUCCGAGGGAAACAGACAUCCACAUAGGAUCUGAAGAAGCGCUGUCUGUGUGAAAUAAACUGAAAAUACUACCUUUCCGGGCUGGAGCAAGAGAUUUUCAAUCAAAUGCCCUCCUCCACAAGGUGUUUGUGCUGCAGGAAACCGGACAACUGUCAUCAAUGAUCUUAGCUUCAACCCUCUUGGACUCUCGUGAGUAAUAUUAGCGGCCGGACUGAAAGUGACAGCACAAGAUGAACUAUGACAUGGAGUCAGACAAAUUGUAGCUCUGCUGUCAGGAUGAUGGGUUAUGCAGGCAGAGUCAUCCCGGGCUGAUCUCAGCAGGCACCCUGCCUCGGAGGAGAUGAGAAGGCGCUGAGCCAAGCUUCCCGUUGGCGCUUGUGCCACCUGAGCAGAGACUCCCUUACCAGCAGUGCCUCCCUCAUAAUACUGGGAGUCAUUUCCGGGGCAGGACUUCCUUUGUUUUUGCUUGUCCUCUAAAUGCUGAUUUGCAUGAUGUUUGAUCUUGACAUGUCUGAUGAUUUCUGACUGUGGACAGCCACGUGUCUACAGGAGGAGGCAGAAACUCCAGUAAUUGGCUAGCACGGUGCUUCGCGAGGACGUCAUUCAUCCCGCGCUCCAACAAAGUGGCGAGAAAGAUGGACGAUGCACGGGACGGAGGCGGGGAGAACCUGCCCAAGAGGCAACCGACUAAUUGCGAGCCCCCCAUGGUUGUACAUCUCAGUUGUAAGUCCUUCCAGUUCUUCUAUGUGAGCCGCCACCACAGCAUUGACAGACAGGUGGUGUGGUUCCGUGACCAGAAAGUGAACCCAGGCCGCUGAAGUGAGAUCAUCUACUGCUCCAUUCAACUACAUGGCUUCCAGAUUUGCACCAGUAUCUCCAGGGUGCUCUUCAGACGUACAGAUUCCUGAGCCCCAUCUCAGACCAGCUGAAGAAUAUCUGGGCAGGAGGGCUCAGAGACCAGAAUUUGAUAAGGAGCUCAGCCCACCUCUUGGGAGUCCUUCAUUAUCCCCCUGUCUGGGCAGAACCCCUCUUCCCUUCACCAACCUCCACGAUGUACCCCAGAUUGGAGGAAAUGAGGAGAUCAGCCCAGUUGGAAUGGAAGACUUGUAUGUGGCAGGGGUGUUACUCUGAAAGCGUUUCCCAGUCAACUUCCUGCAGCAAAUCUCUGUCUCGAAGUCUGCUUCCCAUGGGCGUGACC